CCGAUGAGCGCAAGCGGCUUUUGGUCCAAGAAAAGCCUGACCGGCUGACCCCCUCCGGCCUCCCAUCCCAUCGACCCGACGCCGCGCCGCACCCCUCUUCUGCGCCCUUUCCUCUCCAUUGGCGGCGAAGAGGUUUUCUCCAAACCGGCGAGGGGAGAGGAACUAGCCAGUGAAUUCGGUCCCUCCAACCCAACGAGAAGAUGCCGCGGAUCCCUCUGAUCAAGUUCCCCAAGCGGAAUCUCAAAGCCCCAUCCCCAUCCGCACCAGCAUCGCAGCCCGCGGAUCAGCACGCGACCCUCAUGUCCCGCUUGGGGGCUAAAGUAGAGGCACCAUCUUCUGGAGAGAUUAAAAAUUACCGUUUUAGAUCUGAUGUGCCAUCCCCACCUUCUCAUACUGCUGUUGGAGGUCCAGCUUCACUCCUUCCUAAGCGCAAACCAUUGACUGAAGAAGAGAUUGAGGCCAUCAUGCAUUUGGUGCAGUUUGCCUGCCAAUGAGGCAAUGAAUACAUAAUCCACUAGAUAUAAUUGCAUGAAUAUUGAACGAAUGCUAUCACUGCCACUUCAAGGGUUUUCACUUCUUAAAUCAGCUUGGUGGCUCCAUCUGAUAUGGCCUCGCAUGGAUCGGAAACGUAGGAGGUAUCAAUAAGAUCAUAUACCCAAACUUGCCUUGACUGGAAGGGGUGUUAUUCCAGCCAUGUUGAUAUGGAAUUUGUUUUUUUCUCUCUGUCUGGGAGUCAGCUGUUGUGCCAUUCUGAAACGUCCCCUCAUGAGAUAAAGACUUAAAUGUGAUACAAACAUCAGUCCCAGGAGGCUGAUGACACAUUUAUUACAUCAGAUGGUUCAUCACCGUACAACUCUACGCGGUAGUGAGCAGAGAAGUGACACUAUUGCGAGGAUUACAACCCACACCCACGCAACGAUAUUAAAUAUAAAAAGGGGGUCAUCAGAGUCUUGCGCCAUGCGGUAUCUCCUGCGGGUGACCCUACUCCACAGGCAAGGUUGGGUGUAGAACGGUACCCUAUUCAACGUCCUCUGGAAUGAAGUCGGGGUCUUCCUCUGUAAAAAUUAAGAAUGGGGUGAGUACAAACGUACUCAGCAAGUCCAAUCACGCUCACGGAGGUGAAAUAAACAGAGCAUAAUGCAAAUGGUAAUUCAAGGAUAAGGUUAAGGUUUA